rnacentral:rRNA from 1 species
GUUAUCCGUGUUAAUUGUACGGUUAAUACAUGUAUUGCCUUGCCUCGUGCAAUGGCGCCUUUAUUUCGAAUAGGACUAAACAGGUUUCGGCCUGCUCGUCGUGAAGAAAUUAUCUGUGCUUAUCAUUUUUACAAAGAAGCUUCGAAAUUAUUUCCGCCCUAUCAGCUUUCGCCGGUAACGUAGUGGUUUACCGUGGCAGUGACGGGUAACGGGGAAUUAGGGUUUGACUCCGGAGAGGGAGCCUGAGAAACGGCUACCACAUCUAUGGAAGGCAGCAGGCGCGCGAAUUACCCAAUCCUAUACUAGGGAGGUAGUGACAAGAAAUAACAACAUAGAUAUUAUUUAUUUAUGAUUGGAAUGAGAGGAGUUUAACACAUUCCUCGAGGAUCCAUUGGAGGGCAAGUCUGGUGCCAGCAGCCGCGGUAAUUCCAGCUCCAACAGCGUAUAUUAAAGUUGCUGCAGUUAAAACGCUCGUAGUUGUUGUCCAACUAUACGCUACACUCAAUCGCUGAGAGUAGUAUAAUAGUUUAGCAGAAAUUUCACUUCUGCCAAAACCUUGGGGAAAGAUUAGUGUUCCAAGCAAUCAAAUUUUGUCCUCCCCAGCAUGGUAUAUAACCCAACUGAAGAAGAUUGUCGUCGAGUCUUCUUUUUACUCUAUAGAAAUUCAAGGGGGUAUACGUACUUUAAUGUCAGAGGUGAAAUUCCUAGAUUUUUAAAAGACGAUCAAUUGCGAAAGCAUUCACCAAACGACUUUUCUUUGAUCAAGAACGAAAGUUAGGGGAUUGAAGACGAUCAGAUACCGUCGUAAUCUUAACCGUAAACUAUGCC